rnacentral:rRNA from 1 species
CCCUUAGAUGUUCUGGGCCGCACACGCGCUACACUGAAGGAGGCAGCGUGUACUCCUGGAUCGAAAGAUUUGGGUAACCCGCGAAUCUCCUUCGUGCUAGGGAUUGAGGUUUGCAAUUAUCCUUCAUGAACGAGGAAUUCCCAGUAAGUGCAAGUCAUAAGCUUGCGCUGACUACGUACCUGCCCUUUGUACACACCGCCCGUCGCUACUACCGAUUGAAUGAUUUAGUGAGGACUUCGGACUGGGACCGAUGCGGCUUUCGGGCUGCGUCGGUAUUCUGGAAAGAUGUCCAAACUGUAUCAUUUAGAGGAAGUAAAAGUCGUANCA